CGCGCGUGCGCGUGUGCAUGCGCAUGUGCAGCACAUGCACCCUUUGUGCCUUUCUGCCAUAAGAGGAGGGUAUCAGGAUGGAUAAUGAGGAGCUGUAUAAAGAUGAAGAAGACUGAUGUUCUGGGAAGGUCACUGGGUGGCCUCUAGGAUUCCUGAGUCUGCAGUGCAUGGCUGAAUGUGAGCAGCACCUAGGCUGAGUCUGCCCCUCCCUCUGGUCUCCUUCCAACCCCUCAAGGGACUGAUGGAAAACUGAGUGGGUCCUGCCUCUUCCCCUGCCUGGGGGUACCUCUGCAGCAUCAUUGUCAGUGGUGACCACCAAAAUUAUCCAGUUCCAGCAUGGUCAAGAAGCUGAAUGUUCUCCUGCAGCCCCCAGGGUACCACGCACGGGGCUGGGCACACUGCAGGCUCCCAACAUGUCAGGACCCUGCGUGCAGCCACCGCCGUUUCCCUCUGAGCCACACCUGGGGGCACUUACUCAUCACCCUCAUGCCAGGCCCCAAACUGGAUCUGCCACCUCACACCGCCCAGAGAUUAAGGAAAGUCACUUGAUUCUUGGGCCAGGCUCCCCAUCAGCCAUCAAGGCCCGGCUUGCCUCUUUUCUUUCCUCCUCUGCCUCCUGCCAGAUGAAUUUCCCCUCCUUCCUCCACCUGGACUGAGAAUGGGUAUUUCCUCCUUUGACAGAGAAAGAAAAAGGCAACUGUUCUUCCCCCUUUCCCACGAGGGUUCCCAAUUAAACUAGCUUUUUAAGCUUAA
rnacentral:lncRNA from 1 species